UGUGCUUGCAGUGCGAACGCAAAACGGCACGGCCACUCUGGAGAAGCGCAGCGGCUUCGUAAACAUCUAAACAUGCAUGCACCAUGCAACCCGGCAGCCACGUCCUGGGCACUUACCCCAGAGCGAUGGAAACGUAUGCUCAGGCAUAUUUACAGAGCUUUACUCACAAAAGCCAAAGCCCAGAGAUCCAAAUGUUCUUUGCACCGUGGAUGAAUAAGGGUCUAUAAAGCAGCAGCACCAGGAGCCGUGCAGUGCAGGAUCCUCCUGUAUCUUGACCGCCACAGUGGUGGUUACAGGAAGCUAUGCACCUGGAAAAACUGCAGGGCGCACACACACGCACACACCCGCACGUACAACCGUGGACUCUGGACGAGCUCUGUGCGAGGCAUCCACGUCGAUGUCCUGGGGAAGCCAGGCCACACAGGCCCCUCAUGCUUUUUUUUUUUUUAAUUUACUAAGAAUCUACCGUUAUUUUAAACAUAAACUUGCUUUAAGAGAAAGUGCGAGUGAGCGCCCUGAUGGCACUGGCUUGCUGAGUACUGUGUUUUCACACUGUCCCCCAGCAACCAAUGCCCUGAAAGCCAGGAGUGCCCGCUCCCAGAAGGCGCCGCCCGGGCAGCAGCAGCUGCUCCUGUUCUCUGCAGGCUGGUGCUGUUCCUGUUCGGAGCAGGUGUGCGACCCACAUGGCAGGGGCACGGACUUGCUUCGACCGUCCACACUGAGAAGAUUCUGUAAGCAUCACGAGGUGCUGAUGGGUCACCACGCCCCACAGGAUGCAGAACAGCUGGAAUCGGAUGGCAGCGCUGGGCAGGGACUCGGAGCUCAUCUACUUCACAUCUCACGCUCCACAGGACUCCUUCCCGGGCGGCCCUUACGACACCCACCUCGUCCCAGCCCGAGCAUUUCCCAGGACAGACUCAUUACCUCCUCUUAGACAGCACUGAUUUUCCGACAGCGUGCCUCAUCCCAAGCCACCACCUGUGCCUGUAAUUCCUACCCGCGGGUGCCAGCUCUGACUGCCAGGCAAGGAGCGGUGCAGAAACUCUGAGCCAUGGCAGGCUUCGAGGGGCAAAGGGGCUCCAGGACCCGGCCUGGACGGCAGGAGGCCACGCUCUGCUCCGGGGCUCUUCUCAAACUUGUCUCCAGGGAGCGAAUGGAGAGGCCCGAGCUCAGAAAGAAGUACAAACCUCUCAGUGGCUCAACUUCCCGUCGACAUAGAUACUAAUUUUAUAUUUCAAGUUAAAUGUCCUCUUGUUGCUCACUGAUGCCCUAUUCUUCUCCUAAUUAACCCGCAGUGCAGCGGUGCCCAUGGCAAGCUUUCCCACUGUAGCAAGGACACGGCCCUGAUCAUUUCCCACAAUAAACCCAGAGUCCUGCCAACUUCCCAAGGGGUGCAGGCCAGACUGUGCGGCCACUGGCCCAUACAAGGGCCGGGCUGUUCCUUACUCAAAGUGCAACCACUGGGCCUCUUCCACGUGGUAGGAGACGCAGAACUGGAGGCAGAAAGACCUGCUGCCUAAGUGCCACGAUCUGUCAGGGCAGAGGCCGCCCGCAGCUGGGGAGUGACCUCAGACGCAGGUCCUAAGCUGCAGGUUAAAGAGGCAAAUGCGCCCCUGUCACCAGCGUGAAUUGUGGUGAGCCUGGAGAAGUGCUGUUUCUGCCUUGGUUGGACUCGAUGUUUAGACUCGGAGAAUGAAACUUCAGCCCCCUGGUCAAGUCCCCGGCAGCCUCUGUGGGUAAAUCAGCUUUGGUUGGACACGGCUGCCCCCGCUCGGCCGCUCAUGGCCUAACGCUGUUCCUGCUCCACAGGCCGUGAUGGGCGCGGGGCCCAAGGGCUACCCCCUUCCCCAGCUGGCCUUUACGGAAGGACUGAGGCCAGCUCUCCCAUGGGUGAGGGAAAGAGAUGGUGAUCAGGAACACCAGCAAACCAGGGCUGACAAGAGCAAGGAAUCGCCAGGCCCAAACCGCGGGGUGAGCCAGGGCUCAGAAACGAGGGUGGCCCGGGAGCCAUUCUGCCCGGGCGAUGGGCAGGUGUCUGAGGCCCCACGGGGCAGGAGGGGAGGUGGAGGGGCUCGCAGGAGAGCUGCCCCUGCCCCGCACAAAGCAGCUGCUCUCACAGGGUUGCAGGGUUGGACGUGGGUGGGAGCCAUGGUCACUCUGCAGCCUUCCCAGCAACCCCAUAAGCACCAAACUCCCUGUGUUAAACCCCUUCCUGUUUGAGAUGCCUGUGGGGGUCCUGUUUCGCCUUUGUGGAUACCGUGGGCAUGUCUGUUACCAGACUGCAGUCCACAAAAGUGAAAGCUCAUGCUUUGGCGGAGACAAUUCAAAGUCUCUACUUGCUUAAAAAUUCUCAUCUUUUGAGAUAAAUAAGAUCCAAAAAGAUAUGCCUCAUUUUAUAAUAAAUCUUUGCUGUUUUUUAGGAGUGUUUCUUGGGGAGAGGGAAGAAACUGUUUGAUUUUCAUCAUGUCUGGGUGUUAAAUUUCUCCAAACACUUCUUGGGCAUUCACUGAGAUGAGAAACGGCCCCGGCCCUGCCACUGCCCACCCUUCGGGAAACGCCCCACCACAGACCCAGCCCCCAGGCUCGCCCUCACCGGGCGCCAGGGGAUGUUUGCUAUUUAACACAGAGAACAGGAAAUCAGGAGGCGCUCCCCAUCACCUCCCAGGUCAGACGCCAUCCACCCUCCUCAUCACCAACGCCCACGCAGGAUGACUUCACUACAGCUCUACGGACCGGCUUCCAUCACCAACGCCCAUGCAGGAUGACAUCACUACAGCUCUACGGACAGGCUUCCAUCACCAACGCCCAGGCAGGAUGGCAUCACUACAGCUCUAGGGAUGGCUUCCAUCACCAACGCCCACGCAGGAUGAUGACAUCACUACAGCUCUAGGACCGGCUUCCAUCACCAACGCCCACGCAGGAUGACUUCACUACAGCUCUACGGACCGGCUUCCAUCACCGACGCCCACGCAGGAUGAUGACAUCACUACAGCACUACGGACCGGCUUCCAUCACCAACGCCCACGCAGGAUGACAUCACUACAGCUCUAGGGAUGGCUUCCAUCACCGACGCCCACGCAGGAUGAUGACAUCACUACAGCUCUAGGACCGGCUUCCAUCACCAACGCCCACGCAGGAUGACAUCACUAAAGCUCUAGGGACGGCUUCCAUCACCAAAGCCCACGCAGGAUGAUGACAUCACUGCAGCUCUACGGACCGGCUUCCAGCACCGACGCCCACGCAGGAUGAUGACAUCACUACAGCUCUACGGACCCGCUUCCAUCACCGACGCCCACGCAGGAUGAUGACAUCACUACAGCUCUAGGGACCGGCUUCCAUCACCAAUGCCCAUGCAGGAUGACAUAACUACAGCUCUACGGACCGGCUUCCAUCACCAACGCCCACGCAGGAUGACAUCACUACAGCUCUAGGGACUGGCUUCCAUCACCAACGCCCACGCAGGAUGACUUCACUACAGCUCUACGGACCGGCUUCCAUCACCAAGGCCCACGCAGGAUGACAUCACUACAGCUCUACGGACAGGCUUCCAUCACCAACGCCCAUGCAGGAUGAUGACAUCACUACAGCUCUAGGGACAGCUUCCAUCACCGACGCCCACGCAGGAUGAUGACAUGACUGCAGCUCUACGGACCGGCUUCCAUCACCGACGUCCACGCAGGAUGAUGACAUCACUGCAGUUCUAGGACCAGCUUCCAUCACCGACGCCCACGCAGGAUGAUGACAUCACUGCAGUUCUAGGACCGGCUUCCAUCACCGACGCCCACGCAGGAUGAUGACAUCACUACAGUUCUACGGACCGGCUUCCAUCACCGACGCCCACGCAGGAUGAUGACAUCACUACAGUUCUACGGACCGGCUUCCAUCACCGACGUCCACGCAGGAUGAUGACAUCACUACAGCUCUACGGACCGGCUUCCAUCACCGACGUCCACGCAGGAUGAUGACAUCACUACAGCUCUACGGACAGGCUUCCAUCACCAACGCCCAUGCAGGAUGAUGACAUCACUACAGAUCUAGGGACCGGCUUCCAUCACCGACGCCCACGCAGGAUGAUGACAUGACUGCAGCUCUACGGACCGGCUUCCAUCACCGACGUCCACGCAGGAUGAUGACAUCACUGCAGUUCUAGGACCGGCUUCCAUCACCGACGCCCACGCAGGAUGAUGACAUCACUGCAGUUCUAGGACCGGCUUCCAUCACCGACGCCCACGCAGGAUGAUGACAGCACUACAGUUCUACGGACCGGCUUCCAUCACCGACGCCCACGCAGGAUGAUGACAUCACUACAGCUCUACGGACCGGCUUCCAUCACCGACGCCCACGCAGGAUGAUGACAUCACUACAGCUCUACGGACCGGCUUCCAUCACCGACGUCCACGCAGGAUGAUGACAUCACUACAACUCUACGGACCGGCUUCCAUCACCGACGUCCACGCAGGAUGAUGACAUCACUACAGCUCUACGGACCGGCUUCCAUCACCGACGCCCACGCAGGAUGAUGACAUCACUACAGCUCUACAGACCGGCUUCCAUCACCGACGCCCACGCAGGAUGAUGACAUCACUGCAGCUCUACGGACCGGCUUCCAUCACCAACGCCCACGCAGGAUGACAUCACUGCAGUUCUACGGACCGGCUUCCAUCACAGACGCCCACGCAGGAUGAUGACAUCACUGCAGUUCUACGGACCGGCUUCCAUCACCGACAUCCACGCAGGAUGAUGACAUCACUACAGCUCUAGGACCGGCUUCCAUCACCAAUGUCCACGCAGGAUGAUGACAUCACUACAGCUCUAUGGACCGGCUUCCAUCACCGACGCUCACGCAGGAUGAUGACAUCACUACAGCUCUACGGACCGGCUUCCAUCACCGACGCCCAUGCAGGAUGACAUCACUACAGCUCUACGGACCGGCUUCCAUCACCAACGCCCACGCAGGAUGAUGACAUCACUAUAGCUCUAGGACCGGCUUCCAUCACCGACGCCCACGCAGCAUGACAUCGCUACGGCUCUACCGACCAGCUUCCAUCACCCACACGCCUUUUUCAUUUUGUUUUGUUUUCUAGAGACCAGGUCUUGCUACAUUGCCCAGGCUGGCCCUGAACUCCUGAGCUCAAGGGAUCCUCCCACCUCGGCCCCCCUAGAAGCUGGGACCACAGGCCUGUGCUUAUUCAAAAACAGACAAAAAGGAAGCCCAUCGUUCCUGCUACGGGAAUGCUGCCAGUGUCACAUGCUGCCCAUCUUCUCAUCCAGAGAGCCACACUAUGUUUCCUUCAGAAUUCAACUGAGACCAAAACAAGAAAACCACAGCACAACGCUUACCCAGCAAAAAUAUGAAAACACCAGGCUUCUGGGUUAAGCCAGAAACAAAAAAGUAGUUCUGCUUUGGAAAAUGUGAAUUAUAUGGUCAUAUUAAAGAUGAUCACCUCUAUCAUACAACACUGGCUCAAAAGUCCUAGCCGUUGCUAGAAGAAAAACAAAGACGGCAUGAACACGAAGUGGAGACACACCUGCCAUUCUCUGCAGACCUUUUCGCUUACUUAAAAAACCCGAUACAAGAGAAUCAAUUGACAAUAGAAUUAGAAAGCUCAGCAUCAUUGUUAGCUCUAAGAUCAACAUCCAAAUUAUCUAUAACUUCCCAAUACACCAUCAAUAACCAUUAUGACACACCAAAGGAGGAAACAGACUCAAAAGUAUCAAGAAUCCUAACAAGAAACAAGCAAGACCUUUCCAGAGAAAACCAUAAAACUUUCCUGAAUGACAGAAAAGACAACCUCAAUAAGUCGCAAAAAAAUGUUCGUGGAGUAGAAAAGCUGAUUCCAAAAUUCACACAAAUAAGAGGCCAAGAACACUGUCCAAAAAAACAAUGAAGAAAGAGUUUCUUAUGGCCGGGAAAGGUGGCUCACGCCUGUAAUAUCAGGACUUUGGGAGGCCUGAGGAGGGAGAAUCACUUGAGCCCAGGAGUUUGAGACCACCCUGGGCAAGAUAGUGAGACCCCAUCUCUACCAAAAAAAAAAAAAAAAAAAAAAAAGAGGUACUUACUUUGCUAGAUAUUAAAGCAUAUUUUUUUUUAAAAAAACUAAAGUAUUAAACAGUGUGGUAAAGACCUCACUAAAUAAAUUACGGUAUAACAAGACAAUGGAAUACUAUGAGACUCUUAAAAAAAAAUAGGCUAUUGUGGGCUGGGCGCAGUGGCUCACGCCUGUAAUCCCAGCACUUUGGGAGGCCGAGGCAGGAGGAUCAUGAGGUCUAGAGAUCGAGACCAUCCCGGCCAACAUGGUGAAACCCCGUCUCUACUAAAAAUACAAAAUUAGCCAGGCGUGGUGGCACACACCUGUUAAUAGGAUAUUCUAACCAGGAUUCUAAGACAAUUCAAAUGACAAAAGAACUGUCUUUUCAACAAGCAGAGCUGGGGCAAGUAGAUAUUCACAUGCAGAAGAAUGAAACUGUAUCUCCACCUUGCACUACACUCAACAAUUCACAAAAAACAAAUCAAAAACGUAAAUGUAAAGCCAGACACAGGGGCUCACACCUGUAUUCCCAGCACUUUGAGAGGCCAAGGCAGGAGGCUUGCUUCUUAGAUGUGGUAUCAAAAGCACCGGCAACAAAAGAAAAAUAGAUCAGCUGGUCUUCAUCAAAAUCGAAAUCUUAAGCGCCUCAAAGGACAUCAAGAAAGUGAAAGAGAAGCCACAGAAUGGGAGAAAAUACCUGCAAGUGUACUUCCCAGACACACUAGGAUAUCUAGAAUCAGAAGGUCACAUAUCACAGUGCUGGCGAGGACAUGGAGAAAGUGCAACUCUUGGCUGGGCGCAGUGGCUCACGCCUGUGAUUUCAGCACUUUUGGGAGGCCGAGGCAGGCUGCUCACCUGAGGUCAGGAGUUCAAGACCAGCCCAGCCAACAAGGCGAAACCCUGUCUCUACAAAAAAAUACAAAAUUAGCUGGGCGUGGUGGCACAUGCCUGUAAUUCCAGCUACUCGGGAGGCUGAGAGAGGAGAAUCGCUUGAACCCGGGAGGCAGAGGUUGCGGUGAGCCGAGAUUGUGUCACUGCACUCCAGCCUGGGCAACAAGAGCGAAACUCCGUCAAAAAAAAAAAAAAGGGGGAUAGAAUGCUCAACAAAAGAUUCUAAGGCAAGUGUAUCUUUCUUUUAGAACAAAAGAAGUUAGAUCCCUAUCACACAUAAAACAAAUUUAAAUUGGUUCUAAAAAAUAUAAAAGAGAAGCACUUCUUUCGGAAGAAAAAAACAGAAGUCAUAAAGAAAAAAACUGACCUUACAUCAAUUAUAUCUCAAUAAAAAGCUGUUUUUUAAAACCACAUACUCAGAAUGAUGAGACUACACCUAUAAGAGCAGCCAAAAAUUAUACCUCAAUAAAAAGCUGUUUUUUAAAACCACAUACUCAGUAUGACAAGACAGCACUUACCAGAGCCGCCAAGAUUAAGAAGCUAGCAGCACCACGUGUCGACCAGUGUGUGGAGGAGCCAGGACCCUCAUGCUUCUUUUUUGUUCAACAUUUUGGGGUUUUUUUUAUUUUUAGACAGGGUCUCGCUCUGUCACCCAGGCUGGAGUACAGUGGUGCAAUCUUGGCUCACUGCAGCCUCCGGUGAUUCUCCCAUCUUCGCCUCCCUAGCAGCUGAGAUUACAGGUGCACGCCACCAUGCCUGGCCAAUUUUUGUAUUUUUUAUACAGACAGGGUUUCACCAUGUUGCCCCGGCUGGUCUCAAACUCCUGAACUCAAGUGAUCCUUCUGCCUCGGCCUCCCAAAAGUGCUGAGAUUACAGGCACGAGCCACCGUACCUGGCCAGCAGCUUCUCAAAAAAUUAACCACGCACUUACUAUAGGAUCCAGCAAUUCCGGUCCUCGGAACGAAAGCAUAGAAAGUCACAGAUGCAAAUGUUCACAGCACAUUCAUAACAGCCCCAAGCUGGAAACAACUCAGUCUCCAAACCCUAGUAAACGGGUGAGAGAAUCUGUGAUCAUUCCGCACCAUGGACUAUUUUACUCAGCCCCAAAAAUGGAUGGACACGGGGCGUAGUGUGGCCGGCAGGCGGCCCAUGGACUAUUACUCAGUCCCAAAAACGGAUGGACACAGGGCAGCAGGGCCGACAGGCGGCCCAUGAACUAUUAGCCAUGAAAACGGAUCAAAAACAGAUGGACAUGGGGCAGCGCGGCUGGCAGACAGCCCAUAAACUAUUACUCAGCCCCAAAAACGAAUGGACAUGGGGCAGAUGGACUAUUUUACUCAGCCACAAAAACGGAUCAAAAACGGAUGGACACGGGGCAGCGUGGCCGGCAGGGAUGAAGGAGGGAGCCGGCCUCCCGCUGCCUACGCGGGCUUCAGGGAGACCACACAAGUUCUCGGGGUCUCAGUUCCCCCACACGUAAGACUGUUCCUCAGGUUCCACCUGCCUUUCAGCCCUGUACAUGUAUGAGUUCAAAAUUCAGUCGGCAGACAACCCGGCAUGCAGCAGUCAGACAGGAGAAAAUAAAAACAAUGUGGUGGGGGUGGGUGGAAUUCUACUAAGAAAAACAAUUCGGGCUCCCAGGGAGCCUCCACAGACACCAGCCACCACUCAGCCCCAAGAGUUCAAUGACACACAAUCCCACUGCCAGGGCAGUAAUGCUUCUUGGGGCAAAAUACCAUUGGUCUUAAGUAUUUUGGAUCAGAGCAAAUUCUCAAGGCCAUGAAGUUCACGGCCUCAUUUGAUGGUUUUAUAAAGCUGCGGUCUUCAUGCUCUAGUAAUACACACUGAUUUUCAAGAUUACAAAAGCAGCAAAUCCAGAGCCUCUACACGCCGGUUCAAGCCAAGUAGCCCUGCUCCCUUCCGCUGACCACCACCUGUGCCCCGCGUUCUGGCUGUGCGAGGCGCAAGCCCCACAGCCAGGCGGUCACGCCAGACGGGUUUACAGCCAAGACCAUGAAACACCCAGGGCCAGAAAGACUGCACCUGGGAACAUGGUACCCUGGGCUUACUGUGGCCCACGAAGCCUUCUGUGGCCACUGCACUCACACAGGGCAGCAUGCUGCACCCACCCACUGCACUCACACAGGGCAGCGUGCUGCACCCACCCACUGCACUCACACAGGGCAGCGUGCUGCACCCACCCACUGCACUCACACAGGGCAGCGUGCUGCACCCACCCACUGCACUCACACAGGGCAGCGUGCUGCACACACCCGAGGCCUUGUCUGAGCCCUCAUGGUCCUUACACGGCACCUUGACACAUGGACCCUGCCCUCGACUGAGGCUCCGCCGGCUCGCAGCCAGCCACAGGAAGGGAUCCUGGUCUCUGCUAGUGGGCUCCAUGAGGUAACCAGAGUCAGAAACCAGGGGUGAGUCUCUUCCCCAGGACCAGCUGGCCAGGUGACUGAAACCAGCACAGCACCCACGCCUCUGCCCCUGGCACCUCCAGGCUGCUAAGAAUCAGCUGUCAAGAUGCUCGUGGGGACGGAAAGUGUUGCACACAUAAGGGAUUCUUACGAGGCAGAGGAAGCCAGGGGGGUUCUGCUGACAUGCUGACAGCAGUGGACUGAGGGAGCCCACCUUCCAUUUCCAGGCAGCCAAACAGCACUGACAGCAGCAGGGAGGCGGCCAGGUCAUCACAGGGGCCUCCACACCAGCAGCCACUCGGCUGGCUCUGCAUGGGGUGGUCACGCGUAUGCCGCCUUCCCCCGCAUACGGCUCCGUGGCUUCAGACAGAAACAGAGAAGCUAAGGGUCCCCUUUAGUGAGACUGGAGAGGCAGGGGGAGGGUGAAAGACAGAAAGACCUGCCGAGUCACAUGACCUCCCACCAUGUCCGCCGACCCCAAGGGAUGCUGGGCAGCAGGCCUGGCUCAGCCGGGGCCCCACAGUCCUCCCGAAGGACAUGUGUCAUUUGAAACCUCAUCCUCACAACCCGCUCAAGUGGGAAACCAGGCCUGGAAGGGUUAAAGGAACGUGAAAACAGAACUCCUAAACCCCAGCUCCCCGGGGAGGGCUUAGCUAUGAAACAGGAAGCAGACAGGGCAAACCCUGGGACCCCUCUGGUCCACAAGAGGAAAGGCCCAAGGCGCCAACCCCAGCGGCAGAACCUCCUGCCCGCAGAGCUGAGGAGGACAGAAGCGGCAGGUGCCAGUCCCUCCUAAGACCAGUGGGCAAUCAUACAGCCCAGUCACCAAGACACGAGACAGGCCCAUGGGAGCAACUGUUCCUCCUGCCGGGCCACCACAAGCCGCCCACCUCCCCAGCACUCCAGGCCAGCAGGGCCCUCCGGGAUGGGGAGCUCAGCAAACAACACCCAGAGCCGAGACCCUGAGGCCCUGGUGCCCAGGACCGAGGAACGGCCAAACCUCACCAACGCCAGACAGAGGCACCAGGGACUGAAGCCUGGGAGAGUGAGUGCACCCGGCCCAGGAGGCUUCCCGGGCCAAGCCCACAGGCCUGAGUGGGAACCGGAACGCUGAAGGAACACUCCCCAAGGGGCGAUGAAGUUCCCAUCACUUGGGGACGUGGCGGCGAUCCUGGCGCAAGCUCAGAGUGCUCAUGCUGUGGGAAGAGGCUGCACGGGGCCCCGGGAGUGGCCGCUGACCCGCAGGCUCCCCAGACGGACGUUGCUGGGAGGACAACACAAUGGCCCACGGGGGGACACAGGCUUCUCCAUCCUCGAUGGUGGAUUCCGGAGGUUCAUCCAGGAUCCACUGGGGGAGGGGAGGGAAGCAGCGCAGUACUUUUCCACACGCUCCCCCGGAGCCCAGGAAUGCUGCUCCCCAGGCCCAGCCGCCCACCCUCCUAAGCACUUGGGUUCAGCUUCACAAAACGCUUGAAACUUUUUUUUUUUUAAAACAAUUUCCCAUGAGAACCAGGGAGAGUCAGCAAGGAAAUAUCCAUAUUAGCAGAGACACCCCAUUUCACUGGGAGACUGGCUCCCAGACAUACAAGAACAUGAGCCCCUGAGCCCCCACACUCCAUCUGAAAACCCUCCCAGUAGCCCGGAAACUGGCCACAGGGGCAUGCAGUUUGCAGAGAAUCCAGCUGAAGGCAGCUCCCUCCGCCAGCUCCCUCGGAAGGAACGUGCUGCCGACCCCUGCUGGUGAACCGGGCUCCACCGAGACCGCAUUCCCUGGCUUCCCAGGCCCUCUUCCCGCUGCCAGCUCCUCCAAAGGCUAAGGAACCAGCUCCAGGUCGCUUCCCAACGCUCAGCUGGGCGGGCCUGAGACCAACUCCACGCCAGUGGCCGGAAAGCCAAGUGAAAGCUGGUGACUCUGCCGGCAGCUGCGUGUUACAGACCAGCAGAGUCCAGCCCUCAAAGCGUAGCUGGAGGAAACAAAGGCUUUCUUCUUUCCCCUCUUGCUUUCCAGCUUUCUUUUAAUCAACACGUAUUUUAAUAAUGAAAAAUAAUCACAUACUUUAAAAUAAUUACUUGAACCUAAACAAAAGGACAGACACCACUCCCUCACUUGGGCAGGAGUUUUAACCUCUGCCCACAGUCACCGUAAGCCGAGCUGUCUUGGGGGUGCUGCCAGUGACCAGCGGCCUGUGUGGGGAUCUGGCUGGAGGAGGGUUCACCAAGAAGGGAGAGCCAGAAGCCUCUUGACUCAACUCAAAAAGUCCAGGGUGACGCCGCGCCCACCAAAGUCGUGUGUGCCUGAGGCUCUGCGGAAUUGAGACUGGGCUGAACCACAGAACAAGAGCUCCAGCAGCUCUCGGGAAACCAGCGUCCAUCUGGAACCCAAACUAAAAAGCACAACUGGACCUCAGGCUGUGAAGAAGGAGCUCACUCAUGCUCCCCAUCAACUAGCAAAGCUGUGGCACCACACGGGCUGCGGGCACCGGUCCUGCCCAUCACAGGACACCUGGCACCCUCGGGUGGAGGGGCUCAAGGACCACCGUGAGUCUGGGGUCUCCUCUGAGUGGGCAAGGAGCAUGGAGCAGGCCACGUAUGAGGGUGGAUGCGGCAUUCAAGGGGCAUGUGGUUAGGCCUCCUUUCUCCAGCACAGCUGUCUCCAGAACACCACGCCAGGACGGAGAAGUCCAGGGACGGCAGAACCCGUGUCCUUUGUGGACUGUGUGAUGAGGGAGCCGAAAGAGGCAGCUGAGGCCACCAGACUUGGGAGCCUGCUGGAGGGGCUGGGAUAGCAGGCCCUGGGCCCCUGAUGGAGGGGUGCUGGUGGCUGUGGCCAGGACCUAAGGAACAACCUGGGGUGGCAGCGGGCAGGGACAAGGCUGCUUCUAGGAGGGAGAAGCAGGGGCCCGGCCCACGCCUGCUGCUGCAGCGAAGCCUCCUGCAUGGGCUCACUCAUGCAGGACAGCAGGAGCAGAAGAAGCCCUCACCUGACCCCAUGCCCCUGUCCCCACCCCUCCCUUCCUAUCCCCACCCUCCCCAGGGCCACCCCCUCACCCACACUCCUCCCUACACUCCUCCCCACCCUCCAGCUCCCAGUCUCCUCUGCCGCCCCCACUGGGUGCAGCCGAAAAGGAGCUGAGAACAGAAAAGUGUCCUGCAGAGCCCCAGGCUAUGUGGGCCCCGGGCGGGUGGGGGCGGGGGGGUGCCACAGAGGUGCUGGGGAGCCAAGAGACAGGAGCUCAACAACCAGCACACGCGGCAUGCACGCUGCUUCACCACGGCCUCCAGCCCGGACGGCUCAGACACACACCCACAAAGGACCACGUCAGUAAGCCAGGGAACACCCAGAAAGCCAGAUCCCACCCCAAAAGUAAAACAGUCCAGGCAUAGUGGCUCACGCCUGUCAUCCCAGCAUUCUGGGAGGCUGAGGUGGGCAGACUGCUUGAGCCCAGGAGUUUGAGACCAGCCUGGGCAACAUAGCGAGGCUCCACGUCUACAAAACAUUUUUUAAAAAUUGGCUACGCUUGGUGGUGCACACCUGUGGUCCCAGCUACUCAGGAGGUAGAGGUGGGAGGAUUGCUUGAGCCUGGGAGGUCGAGGCUGCAGUGAGCCAUGACUGUACCACUGCACUCCAGCCUGGGCAAAAGAAUGAGACCUUGUGUUUAAAAAAAAAAAAAAAAAAAAAAAAGAGUAAAGCAGGAUAGGUUACAGAAGAGCAGCAGUUUAAAAAGCAUGAUCAUCAUGGAAAGGGCCUGGCAGCAUUGAGCCCACCUAGGGCCCAGGUGUGGUCUAAAUACCCCUCGCUGUGAAAAAGAGUCAGGGGAGGUCAAGACAGGCCUGGGAUGCCAGGUGAGGCCAGAAACCAAGGAGACAGUCAAAGAGCAAAGGCCCUGUCCAAAAGGCAGAGCCUGCACAAGGGUUCCCCCCAUCCCACUCGGGGCUAUCACUGGUAACAGCACAUUGGAAGAAUAUUCCUAUUGUGGAAUCAGAAAACCCCAAGCCCCUUAUUCUUUAAUUGAGCCUUAUCUUUAAAAAGCAUCAGAAGCCAGAGGCUACAGAUUUCAAUUAGCUAUGUAAUAAGAAAUCUUGGAAGAAUGAGAUACUGUUGACACAGGGGCUCUGGAAAGACAAGAGACCAUGCCAGCCAAUUACCUUGUGAGAGAAA